CAGGACACGAGGGGAGGGUAUGAGGGCUGGGGCCACGCUCUGGGCUAUCGCGACGUGUCCUGAGGAACUGCUCCCUAUGGGGGGUAUUGGGUGGGGAAGGAGGUUCUGGAGAGGGUACUAGAAAAGGGGCCGUGACUGCGCUGAAGGAAGACUACUCUCAGUUGUAUCUACUGAAUUACUUUUGAAGAGUGUUUUCCCUCCGCUGUCCUACUGAUCUGCUGUGUUUCUAAAAGUAAUCUCUUCUUCUCUCUCUCUCCCUCUCUCUCUCCUUAUAUCAGGCACACGUUCUCUCCCUCCCUACAGAGUUCCUCAGGACAUGUCACACAAAGGGAUGGGCGUGGUUUGAAGCCCUGUACCUGUCCUCUGACAUCCUCUCUGGAUGAGGCGUUACAGGGGGAGAGGAUGAGGUGUUACAGGGGGAGAGGAUGAGGUGUUACAGGGGGAGAGGAUGAGGUGUUACGGGGGGAGAGGAUGAGGUGUUACGGGGGGAGAGGAUGAGGCGUUACGGGGGGAGAGGAUGAGGUGUUACAGGGGGAGAGGAUGAGGUGUUACAGGGGGAGAGGAUGAGGUGUUACAGGGGGAGAGGAUGAGGCGUUACAGGGGGAGAGGAUGAGGCGUUACGGGGGAGAGGAUGAGGCGUUACAGGGGAGAGGAUGAGGCGUUACAGGGGGAGAGGAUGAGGUGUUACAGGGGGAGAGGAUGAGGCGUUACAGGGGGAGAGGAUGAGGCGUUACAGGGGGAGAGGAUGAGGCGUUACAGGGGGAGAGGAUGAGGCGUUACAGGGGGAGAGGAUGAGGCGUUACGGGGGGAGAGGAUGAGGCGUUACGGGGGAGAGGAUGAGGCGUUACAGGGGGAGAGGAUGAGGCGUUACGGGGGAGAGGAUGAGGUGUUACAGGGGGAGAGGAUGAGGUGUUACAGGGGGAGAGGAUGAGGUGUUACAGGGGGAGAGGAUGAGGUGUUACAGGGGGAGAGGAUGAGGCGUUACAGGGGGAGAGGAUGAGGUGUUACGGGGAGAGGAUGAGGUGUUACAGGGGGAGAGGAUGAGGUGUUACAGGGGGAGAGGAUGAGGCGUUACAGGGGGAGAGGAUGAGGUGUUACAGGGGGAGAGGAUGAGGCGUUACAGGGGGAGAGGAUGAGGUGUUACGGGGAGAGGAUGAGGUGUUACAGGGGGAGAGGAUGAGGUGUUACAGGGGGAGAGGAUGAGGCGUUACAGGGGGAGAGGAUGAGGCGUUACAGGGGGAGAGGAUGAGGCGUUACAGGGGGAGAGGAUGAGGUGUUACGGGGGAGAGGAUGAGGCGUUACAGGGGAGAGGAUGAGGCGUUACAGGGGGAGAGGAUGAGGCGUUACAGGGGGAGAGGAUGAGGCGUUACAGGGGGAGAGGAUGAGGUGUUACGGAGGAGAGGAUGAGGUGUUACGGAGGAGAGGAUGAGGUGUUACGGGGGAGAGGAUGAGGCGUUACAGGGGGAGAGGAUGAGGUGUUACGGGGGAGAGGAUGAGGUGUUACGGGGGAGAGGAUGAGGCGUUACAGGGGGAGAGGAUGAGGCGUUACAGGGGGAGAGGAUGAGGUGUUACGGAGGAGAGGAUGAGGUGUUACGGGGGAGAGGGGGUGGCUAGUCUAUUAUAUGUAUUAUAUCCUAUAGGAAGGGUUUUACUGCUGAGGAAAGUAGAGGGAUCAGAUUAUUACAAGGGAGUUGAAUAUGUUUCAGGAAGGGGUUUUGACCAGUGUCGAGUUCUUUUAGUCUGGACAUUGUUACUUGCCUUUAGGGUGAGAUUUUGCAAGAGAAAAUACAUUUUAACCAGUGCUGUAUUAAUGAAUAACAAAAAAGGUCAUAAACGGAUAAAUGCUAUUAGGCUACUUUUGUUCCUUGGGGAAGGGGGGUAAACAGAAUGAAACAAUUACUGAUCUAGGUGCUGCAUGCAGGAAUAUAGGGAGCUCUUACUCCAAGAUGUACUGCUGAUAAAGUCUACAUUCCUUCUCUUUCUAUUCACAUUGCCCAUCCCUUUGCCUUGUGUCUCAGUAUGUUCACUCAUCACCACUUCAGAGACGCUCUGACCGUGUUAGAGAUGGAAGGCUAGGCGUCCAUAGGGGAUGUUAGAUCUGUGAGAUCCAGGUUAAUAAGCAUGUUGCCCUGGGCGUGAGUAGAUCCAUUAGGCAGCGAAAUAAAGAUCAUUCAAUCAGGCCGUUCUUUCAUGGACAUUUUCCCAAAUGUCGGAAAGCUUUGGAGGUAAAAAAGCAUGGAAUUAUUAUUUCAUUCUUAUGCAUCUCUCUUCUUGUUUAUUUUCAGGCAAUUACUUUGUAGACUGAAAUAAACAUUGUAAUAUGUGUCUUGUAUUUCUAAGUUGAAAUAAAAUGACAAUGUAGUGAUAACACUAUUUCACAGCAUCAUUUAUAAAUGGUCCACUAGCAGAUCAUUAAUGAUCCAAAAUGGGAGUCCCUUUGCCUCAUAAACACAGUAUUACUGACCCCUACUGUUGAUCAAAAAAGUUGUCAUCCCAAACAGCAGAGAGACGUUAUGACGCAAAGUCCAUUUCCAUCCUUACUGAUUGUUAAUGGAGCAUUUGAGAAUGUUGGCUGUAAAUGAAGUGUUACCGUACUACAGUAGGCCAACACUCUUGCUUGUUCCAGAUCCUAGAACUACAUUCCAUGCUGGGGACGCUACAGGAUUAUAGUACUUACCCCGCAGUAAGGUCUAAUCGUUUAAUUACCUA